CGACAACUUCGGGGCUCAUCUGCAAAGUCGUAAGAUCAUGUAUAGGGGUUGACACCUGUUCAGGGGUCGGAAGGUCAAGGAAGUUUGUAACCUGAUGAUAGGAGAGUCAACGAUCGAAGUCCCGGUGAACAGCGGCCAUAACUAUAACGGUCUAAAGAUAGUGAAAUUCAUUGUCGGGUAAAUUUCGAUCCGCACGAAAGGCU
rnacentral:ncRNA from 1 species